AAACCAGGAUUUCUGUUAGCAAAUCGCUUCCCCCGGAGUAGAAUCUCCCAUGCAGCGAGAUGAGCUAAAUUUGUUAAAUUAACUGUCUUUCUUCUGGUUAUCAAGAAUAAGGUGAUCUUGAGCACGUCUCUAUUUCCUUGCGGCUCGGAGAAUUAGCACCCUGUUUCCUCUCCGGGGGGAAAGCGGGACAGCGCGUUUCUGACGGCUGAACUUUCGAAACAGUGUUUCUAGAAAGCGUGUCCUCUUUCCCCCACCUCCAGUUUAGCAGCGACGAAGAAAACAACCCUCAUAAGGCGAAAGCGGAAAGCAAAACCCCGUGUCCCCUCUCCCCACGGAAACCCCUAGGCGCUUCCGACCGCGGGGAGCACCCACCGUGAGCGCUUCCACGCACCCACCCGAGCCCAGAUGGACUCAACGGGCGCCGGGGCUAGAGGGGAAGAGCCUCGCUGAGCCCCCUCUGCAGAGGAGGACCCCCAGCCGGGGGAGGCGAUGGGGCAAGGGGCUGAGCCGUGGGUGCCCAGGGGGGAGGAGUGAUUGUAGAACCGUGGAGGCGGCGGAGAGAGUUGAUUUGGGUUUGGUUUGGUUUGGGGGGAGAGUGGCUCCUGUAGCUCCAGGGAGCCGUGCGGUUUUCCUGGCGCUGCGUUUUUCCCUGAAACGGCUGGGAAGCGGGGCGGUCGGCGUGCUUUCCCGGCUGUCGGCAGCUACGGGACGCCGCUGCCAGCCGCUGGCAGGGGCAGUGGUAGGAAGCCAGUGAGACAUCAGCAUGCUGUGGUGAACAAAGAUCUCUGAAGCAGAAGUGGAUGUCGGAGCGUCACUGCUCCCCACCGAUGCCAGCGCUGCCCUGGCACGGGAAGUCACACUCCUACCCCUCCCACACCACGCGUGCACGGCUGCUGGGAUGGCCGAACGCCAGCAAGGCAGGUGGGAACCGGGAGCGACAGCAAACUGAAAACAUCAGUGCAUUUAAAAGCAGAAAAUGUGGGUAUUGCUUUUAUCCUGGGUGUUUUCUCUAUGCCCAUUGAGCAGUGAAUACAUCCUUUAGGAAAUUCAAGCUGGAACUGUGCAAACAAGGUGGAUAACAACCCUCAUGCUCACUGCAGAUGAAACAGAGAAUAAACGCGCAAUACUUCGGGAGUUGCUGGUUUGCCUCUGAGUUGCCAAAGUUUGGAGAGAUUCAUUCCUUUUGGGCCUGAGCCCAGAGCCAUUUGCAGGCAAGGGGAGUCUUGGCUGGGGCAGGGGGUCAACCUUUUUAUGGCAGGGCUGAUCUGCAGUGAUCAGAAAAGAGCUGCUGCUGUUCAGCCCACGUCUCCUCCGCACGGAGAAACGCACAAAUGUUGCUCUCACUGACAUUAACGGGAAUUGUGGUUGCAGUUUAACUUCCUCACGUGCCAAGGUAUCCCACAGGUAACAGCCUGGGUGUGUGUAUAUGAAUUAGUUCUUAAAGCUGCAUGCAUUUCUCCUUUUUAUAAAAGAAGACCAGGCACUCUGUAACUGCUAAGAACAGACUGUCUGAAAGGUGUUUUAUUAACUAAAGUUGGGGAAGAAAAUGAAACUGAAAAGAAUACGACUGCAUAUUAAACUACAUGAAGUGGUCAUGACAA